ACUGGAGUUUGAUCCGGCUCAGGAUGAACGCUAAGCGGCAGGCCUAAUACAUGCAAGUCGAACGGGGGCUUCGGUCCUAGUGGCGAACGGUCGCGUAACACGUAAGCAACCUGCCCUGAAGAGGGGGACAACAUCCCGAAAGGGGUGCUAAUACCACAUGUGGUCACGAGUCGGCAUCGACUUGUGUCUAAAGAUUUAUCGCUUCAGGAUGGGCUUGCGGCCUAUCAGGUAGUUGGUGGGGUAACUGGCCUACCAAGCCGACGACGGGUAGCUGGUCUGAGAGGACGA
rnacentral:rRNA from 1 species